UGCCAACUGUCAAUUUCACACAAGAUAUGUAACUUCCGCUCCGCAAGGAAUAAAAUCCAUCAUUCGAUAACUUCGAUGGCUUACAAUUUCAAACAAUCCUUACGGUUGGGCAUUAUUUAUUUUAUUCUAUUCAAAAAUAAGGAAUCAGAUUUUUUGAUGAGUUGCUCUUUCUGUUUUCUCUUUUUUUUUUAUGCGUUGUGUUUUAGAAACUUUGGGAUUCCUGUGUGCGCGCCGGUGGAAGCACCAUAAAAAACAUUCCGAGAUCGCAAGCCGAAGCGAUUUUAUGCGUUUGUAGGGGAAUAAGCAUUGAUAAAAAACGAUGCCUAUCAAGUACUUUCCCAAGAUGAGCGUUGUUUCGAGGUGGGAGCGUCGCCAAAAGCCAAAUUUCCCUGCCAAUUUAGCUGUUGGUGUCACAGUUGGCCCAAGUUUGAAAGGUCAAUAACCUGUGAAGUGUUGUAUCUUCUUGGCGCUCUCAGCGCUCUGGAUUUUAUUAUCCCCAAAAUUUUAUUUCAGAUUCUAGGCAAGUAAGUGACUGUCUUUUCAGGAAAAAUGACCAUUUUUGAUAGAGCAAUGUACCAGAUGCGACUUUUAAGGCCUCAAUUUGUCGGUUUGACGAUCGUGCAAAAUGAUGGAUGCGAGGCUAUAUUUGAGAAAAUCUGUCAAAUAUUCUAUUUUAACUGGAUUAAGCCGAGAUUAAAAUAAUAUUGAGAGCACA